rnacentral:rRNA from 1 species
UAGGGAAUCUUCGGCAAUGGACGAAAGUCUGACCGAGCAACGCCGCGUGAGUGAAGAAGGUUUUCGGAUCGUAAAGCUCUGUUGUAAGAGAAGAACGUGUGUGAGAGUGGAAAGUUCACACAGUGACGGUAACUUACCAGAAAGGGACGGCUAACUACGUGCCAC